rnacentral:lncRNA from 1 species
GUGACUUUUGCUUGGCCCGAUACAGUGUUUCAGUCAUUUAUUUGUAUCCGUGUAAAGAAUUAUGUGAUUGCUAUUCAUGUUGUGUAUUAUAUUAUAUAUCAUUCUAUCAUGUCUAUUGUGUAUUGUAUAAUAUAUCAUCACUUGCAAAGCGACCAUCAACGAAUAAAGUUCUAUAUUCCAAAUUGUCUGUAUUUUCCAAGUCAACCAGUCAGAGGUUAUCGUACGUCAGAAUCAUCAACCAGUCAGAGGUUAUCAUUUAGUAUAUUGGUGAGACACAAAUUGAUCGCAUACAUUACAACUGCACAGUCACAAGUAGUUCACACAGCAAUUCCACACAACAA